rnacentral:rRNA from 1 species
GACGGAGGAUGCAAGUGUUAUCCGGAAUUACUGGGCGUAAAGCGCACGCAAGCGGUUGGACAAGUCUGGCGUGAAAUCCUCUGGCUUAACCAGGGGCGGUCGCUGGAGACUGUUCGGCUUGAGGCGAUGAGAGGGGUGCAGAAUUCCCGGUGUAGUGGUGGAAUGCGUAGAGAUCGGGAGGAAUACCAGUGGCGAAAGCGGCACCCUGGCGUCGUACUGACGCACAUGUGCGAAAGCGUGGGGAGCGAACGGG